UACGUAGGGGGGCAAGCGUUGUCCGGAUUUAUUGGGCGUAAAGAGCGUGUAGGCGGCCAUACAGGUCAGCUGUGAAAACUCGAGGCUCAACCUCGAGACGUCGGUUGAAACCGUAUGGCUAGAGUCCGGAAGAGGAGAGUGGAAUUCCCGGUGUAGCGGUGAAAUGCGCAGAUAUCGGGAAGAACACCUAUGGCGAAGGCAGCUCUCUGGGACGGUACUGACGCUGAGACGCGAAAAGCGUGGGGGAGCAAACAGG
rnacentral:rRNA from 1 species